CCUACGGGGUGCAGCAGUGGGGAAUAUUGGGCAAUGGGCGCAAGCCUGACCCAGCAACGCCGCGUGAAGGCAGAAGGCUUUCGGGUUGUAAACUUCUUUUCUCAGGGACGAAGAAAGUGACGGUACCUGAGGACUAAGCCACGGCUAACUACUUGCCAGCAGCCGCGGUAAUACGUAGGUGGCAAGCGUUAUCCGGAUUUAUUGGGGGGAACGGGCGUGUAGGCGGGAGCGCAAGUCAGAUGUGAAAACCCAGGGCUCAACCCUGAGCCUGCAUUUGAAACUGUGUUUCUUGAGUGCUGGAGAGGCAGUCGGAAUUCCGUGUGUAGCGGUGAAAUGCGUAGAUAUACGGAGGAACACCAGUGGCGAAGGCGGAUUGCUGGACCGUAACUGACGCUGAGGCGCGAAAGCGUGGGGAGCAAACAGGAUUAGAUACCCCAGUAGUC
rnacentral:rRNA from 1 species